UGGGGAAUAUUGGACAAUGGGGGCAACCCUGAUCCAGCAAUGCCGCGUGUGUGAAGAAGGUCUUCGGAUUGUAAAGCACUUUCGACGGGGACGAUGAUGACGGUACCCGUAGAAGAAGCCCCGGCUAACUUCGUGCCAGCAGCCGCGGUAAUACGAAGGGGGCUAGCGUUGCUCGGAAUGACUGGGCGUAAAGGGCGUGUAGGCGGUUUACACAGUCAGAUGUGAAAUCCCCGGGCUUAACCUGGGAGCUGCAUUUGAUACGUGUAGACUAGAGUGUGAGAGAGGGUUGUGGAAUUCCCAGUGUAGAGGUGAAAUUCGUAGAUAUUGGGAAGAACACCGGUGGCGAAGGCGGCAACCUGGCUCAUGACUGACGCUGAGGCGCGAAAGCGUGGGGAGCAAACAGGUUAGAUACCCUGGUAGUCCACGCCUGUAAACGAUGUGUGCUAGAUGUUGGGUAACUUUGUUA
rnacentral:rRNA from 1 species